rnacentral:rRNA from 1 species
GACGAACGCUGGCGGCGUGCUUAACACAUGCAAGUCGAACGCUGAAGCUCAGCUUUUGUUGGGUGGAUGAGUGGCGAACGGGUGAGUAACACGUGAGUAACCUGCCCCCUUCUUUGGGAUAACGCCCGGAAACGGGUGCUAAUACUGGAUAUUCACUGGUCUUCGCAUGGGGGUUGGUGGAAAGGGUUUUUCUGGUGGGGGAUGGGCUCGCGGCCUAUCAGCUUGCUGGUGGGGUGAUGGCCUACCAAGGCUUUGACGGGUAGCCGGCCUGAGAGGGUGACCGGGCACAUUGGGACGGAGAUACGGCCCAGACUACUACGGGAGGCAGCAGUGGGGAAUAUUGCACAAUGGGCGCAAGCCUGAUGCAGCGACGCCGCGUGAGGGAUGGAGGCCUUCGGGUUGUGAACCUCUUUCGCUCAUGGUCAAGCCGCAACAAUGGUUGUGGUGAGGGUAGUGGGUAAAGAAGCGCCGGCUAACUACGUG